UCAACAAAACAUCUUAGCUGCAUUUUAUUUGGGUAUUAGUAAGAACUGCUUAUGUUAAAGAUAGGUACAAGUUCAUGUAUAAGCAGUAACUAGACUAAUUUUAUAUUUAGAUGAAAAUUGAGUUGUUUCUAGAAAUAGGAAAAAUAGUGUUUGGAUGAUUAUAUUGUAAUAAAGGAAAUAAGAGUUAUCAUUUUAAAGUGAAUAAGAGUUAAAUUAAAAUUAUUUUAUUUAAUUAAUUAACAUCAAAAUAUUACUUAAAAAUAAUAAAUUAAUAUUAAUAAUUAUAAAUAAUAAAUUAGUUAAAUAAUAAUAAAUGAAAUAAUAAAUUGUAAACAAUUAUAAAUAAUAAAUUAUUAGCAAUUAUAAAUUAUAAAUUAAUUAAUUAACAAUAAAUAAUUAUAAAUUAUAAAUUAUUAAUUAAUAAAAUUUUAUUAUUAAAAAUAAAUUAAUUAGAUAAUAUAGUCUAAAUAAAAUAAUAAUAAUUCUAAAUAAUAAAAUUAGUUUAAUAAUUAUAAAUAAUAAAUAAAUAAAUAAUUAAUAAUAAAGUCAAUAAAAAUUAUAAAUUACUAAUUAAUAAUAAAUUACAAAUAAGAAUUAUUAAUAAUUAUAAAUAAUAAAUUAUUAAUAAUUAUAAAUAAUAAUUAUUUAAUUAAUAAUAAAAUUAUUAAUUAAUUAAUUAUUAAUAAUUAUAAAAAUAAUAUAUUAAUAAAUAUAAAUUAAAUAAUUAAUAAUAGUAAAUUCUUAAUAAUUAUUAUAAUAAAUUAUUAAUAAUUAUAUUACAAAUUAAUUAAUUAAUUAAUUAAUUAAUUUUAAUUAAUUAAUAAGAAAUUAAAUAGUUAAUUAUUAAAUAAAUUAAUACUAAUAAAUUAAUGAUAAAUUAGUUAAUUAUAAAUUAAUAAAAUAACCAAUUAAUUAUAAAUUAAUAAAUAAAUUAAGUAAUUAUUAAUAAUUAUAAAUAAUAAUAAUUUAAUUAAUAAUUAUAAAUAAUAAAUUAAUAAAUUGUUUUAUUAUUUAAGCAAUAAAUAAUAAUUUAAAAAUAAUAAUUAAAUUAAUUAAUUAUUUAAUAUCAUAAUUAAAAUUAUUUUUAGACUUUAAUUAACUUUAUUCUCACCAGGGAAUAAGGUUGUUCAAGGAAAAAGGUGGAACAAUAGUUCCGAUAUUAUACUGGGUUAUUCCAAAAAUCUGAGAGCUACUGUUCUCGGAUACUUAACACAGCAUUUGGGAACAAAGGGAAAAACAAGAGCUUAUUCCAUUCCUUGUUCACGAACCAAACACUA
rnacentral:lncRNA from 1 species